AACGCGAAGAACCUUACCCACUUUUGCCAUCCCGGUAGCGGCCUUUAGAGAUAAGGGCUUCAUUUAGUUGGACCGGUGACAGGUGCUGCAUGGCUGUCGUCAGCUCGUGUCGUGAGAUGUUGGGUUAAGUCCCGCAACGAGCGCAACCCUCGUCGUAUGUUGCCAUCAGGUUAUGCUGGGCACUCAUAUGAGACUGCCGGUGAUAAGCCGGAGGAAGGUGGGGACGACGUCAAGUCAUCAUGGCCCUUACAGGUGGGGCUAGAAACGUGCUACAAUGGCAGUGACAAUGGGCAGCUACACAGCAAUGUGAUGCUAAUCCCAAAAAGCUGUCUCAGUUCGGAUUGUCCUCUGCAACUCGAGGGCAUGAAGCUGGAAUCGCUAGUAAUCGCAAAUCAGCAUGUUGCGGUGAAUACGUUCCCGGGUCUUGUACACACCG
rnacentral:rRNA from 1 species